UACGGAGGGUGCAAGCGUUAAUCGGAAUUACUGGGCGUAAAGCGUGCGCAGGCGGUUUGUUAAGUCUGUUGUGAAAUCCCCGAGCUCAACUUGGGAAUUACAAUGGAUACUGGCAGGCUGGAGUAUGGUAGAGGAAGGUGGAAUUCCCGGUGUAGCAGUGAAAUGCGUAGAGAUCGGGAGGAACACCAGCGGCGAAGGCGGCCUUCUGGACCAAUACUGACGCUCAUGCACGAAAGCGUGGGGAGCAAACAGG
rnacentral:rRNA from 1 species